CAGUGCAGUCACCCAUAAAGUAGAAAGCACUACUAACAGCACUGGAGGGUGUAGUGUUUCCUACUUUAUGGAUGAGUGUACUGU
rfam:Oryctolagus cuniculus chromosome 19, whole genome shotgun sequence.